rnacentral:misc_RNA from 1 species
UGGAGCUGAUCACUAUGAAGACCAAAACAGUGAACUUCGUACUUAAUAUUUGCAUAUUAUAUAGUUAUUUAAGUUUUAUAGUCAUUUUGUCCUUUUAUUGAUUAGUUUUAGCUAAUUUCAUUGCUAAUCUAAUUAGUUUUUCAUAUUUGUUAAUUUUAGUUUUAAUUUGUGAAUUUCUUCUUGUUUUAUAGGUUAAAUGGUGCCUUUGAAGAUUUAGGAGUCAAUUGCAUGUGUGAAGAGUAAAUUCUAAGCAAAAAGAUGCCAAAAAUGAAGUGCAAAAAUUGUUGAAGUUAGUGGCCACCGAGAAUUGCACAAGGAGCUGCUCAGCCCGUGCAACUUGCAUCCAGAAAAAUAGAGUUGUCAAAAGUUGCCAAAAGUUGCACAGGACCCCGCAUGGCCAUACAGCUGCUUAUACAAAAAUUCAAAAAAUAAUUUCAAACACACCGAAAGUUGUACAGCCUCCUAUAUGGUCGUGUAACCACUUAUGCAGAAAUUUGAAAAUUGUUCAAAGUUGCCAAAAGUUGCAUAGCCUCUUGCAUGGCCAUGCAACUGCUCAUGCAACAAUAUGAACGAUUGCUCAAAAGCUGCUGGGAGUUUCACAGGGACCUACUUGGCCAUGCAAGUCCAUCCUUGCCCAUCCUUCUCAGACCUAAUUCUCUACAAAAAUGCUACACAAGCACUUGCACAGCCAUGCAACUUUAUUGAAUUCAUCUAAUGUGACAUAAUUUACACGUGCAAUGACCUGAAACAAGCUCCAUUUUUAGCCUAUUCUAGGGUUUUUGUCAGAGGAUAUAAAAGCCUCCUUACAUCAUUUUUUACUGUAAGAAGAAAGAUUUUGAAAAAACAAGAAAGAGAAAAGGGCAACACACCAUGUUUGUCGAGUAACCUUGGAUUUGCCUUCUUUACCAUUUCCUCAUGCCACACAUCGGGUUUUUCAAUUUUAGUUUAUUUUUCAUGUUUUAUUUCAUUUUUUUUUAUAUAAAAUCUCUUGUAUGAACAUGGAUUAUGAGUAGUUUCUUAAGAUUCUGGAAUUUGGAUAUAAUAUUUGAGUUAUUUUGUGGAUUUGAACUAGUUUAGUUCAGAUUUUAUAAUUUUUAUGAGAUUUAAUUCAUUUCCUG